CUCGAGUAAUCGCGGUCUAUUUUAAUAGACUGAGGAAAGUCCACGCUCGCACAAGCUGCGAUGCUUGUAGUGUUCGCGCUUGGCCCAAUAAGCUAAGGUACUUCUUUGAAGUAACGGCAGCUCAAUUCCUAAAGUCUUUCGACCAUGGCAACGAGCUUGAAAGUGCCACAGAAACGAACGAUUAGUGAAAGUUAGUCGAUGGAACGGGUAAACCCCACGAGCGAGCAAUUCAAAUUUUUUGGUAGAAGAGUCCAAUGGCGGGAAAUGAACCUAAAGUUGGAGCGUUAGCAGAUAGAUGAUUACUGAAGAUGGCAAUGGACCUAGUUGUCAUUGGAACAAAACGUGGCUUAUAG
rnacentral:RNase_P_RNA from 1 species